CGCCGUUCCGACAGUGUUCCACGAACAAAGCGAGCCAGCAACUUCGACACUGCAGGCAGUUCGACAGGGUCAAGCGCAAGUGAAGGACCAGGUGCUGCUGAUCAAGUCCCAUCCAUCCAUGAAAC